UAAUACGUAGGAUCCAAGCGUUGUCCGGAUUUACUGGGUGUAAAGGGUGCGCAGGCGGACUGGUUAGUCUGGGGUGAAAUCUCAUCGCUUAACGGUGAAACUGCCUUAGAUACUGCCAGUCUUGAAUCAGCGAGAGGUUCGUGGAAUUCCGAGUGUAGCAGUGAAAUGUGUAGAUAUUCGGAAGAACACCAGUGGCGAAGGCAGCGAACUGGCGCUCGAUUGACGCUCAGGCACGAAAGCAUGGGGAUCAAACAGGAUUAGAUACCCUGGUAGUCCAUGCCCUAAACGAUGAUCACUUGGUGUCGGCCGUAAGGUCGGUGCCGGAGCUAACGCGUUAAGUGAUCCACCUGGGGAGUACGCUCGCAAGGGUG
rnacentral:rRNA from 1 species